rnacentral:rRNA from 1 species
AGAGUUUGAUCCUGGCUCAGGAUGAACGCCGGCGGUGUGCCUAAUACAUGCAAGUCGAGCGCACUGGCCCAACAGAAAUGACGUGCUUGCACUGAUUUGACGUUGGAUUCCCAGUGAGCGGCGGACGGGUGAGUAACACGUGGGCAACCUGCCCCAAAGCGGGGGAUAACAUUUGGAAACAGGUGCUAAUACCGCAUAACUUGGAAAACCACAUGGUUUUCCAAUAAAAGAUGGUUUCGGCUAUCACUUUGGGAUGGGCCCGCGGUGCAUUAGCUAGUUGGUAAGGUAACGGCUUACCAAGGCGAUGAUGCAUAGCCGAGUUGAGAGACUGAUCGGCCACAAUGGAACUGAGACACGGUCCAUACUCCUACGGGAGGCAGCAGUAGGGAAUCUUCCACAAUGGGCGCAAGCCUGAUGGAGCAACACCGCGUGAGUGAAGAAGGGUUUCGGCUCGUAAAACUCUGUUGUUGGAGAAGAACGUGCGUAAGAGUAACUGUUUACGCAGUGACGGUAUCCAACCAGAAAGUCACGGCUAACUACGUGCCAGCAGCCGCGGU